UUAGCUAGUUGGUGGGGUAAGGGCCUACCAAGGCGACGAUCGGUAGCUGGUCUGAGAGGAUGACCAGCCACACUGGAACUGAGACACGGUCCAGACUCCUACGGGAGGCAGCAGUGGGGAAUAUUGGACAAUGGGGGCAACCCUGAUCCAGCAAUGCCGCGUGUGUGAAGAAGGCCUGAGGGUUGUAAAGCACUUUCAGUGGGGAGGAGGGUUGAUAGGUUAAGAGCUGAUUAACUGGACGUUACCCACAGAAGAAGCACCGGCUAACUCCGUGCCAGCAGCCGCGGUAAUACGGAGGGUGCAAGCGUUAAUCGGAAUUACUGGGCGUAAAGGGUGCGUAGGUGGUUGAUUAAGUUAUCUGUGAAAUUCCUGGGCUUAACCUGGGACGGUCAGAUAAUACUGGUUGACUCGAGUAUGGGAGAGGGUAGUGGAAUUUCCGGUGUAGCGGUGAAAUGCGUAGAGAUCGGAAGGAAC
rnacentral:rRNA from 1 species